rnacentral:rRNA from 1 species
AGAUACCCUGUUACUUAUUAAUUAAAAAAUUUUGGAAUAGUAGUUAUUAUGAAAUUUAACUGAUUUGGCGGCAAAAUAGCCAUUUAGAGGAACCUGCCCUAUAAACGAUGAACCACGAAGUACCCUACUUUUAUUUGUAAACAGUUUGUAUACCUCUGUUGUCAGUCAGUUUUAUAAGAAAACUUUCUAUUAUGAUAAGAUCAUGAAAUUCAAGUAAAGGUGCAGCUUAUAUAAAAGAUAGAGGUGGGUUACAUUUAUAUGAUUAAAACGGAUAAAGAUAUUUGAAAAAACUUUUGAAGGCGGAUUUAAAUGUAAAGUUUAAGCAAACU